rnacentral:rRNA from 1 species
CUCGUAGGCGGCCAACUAAGUCAGACGUGAAAUCCCUCGGCUUAACCGGGGAACUGCGUCUGAUACUGGAUGGCUCGAGUUUGGGAGAGGGAUGCGGAAUUCCAGGUGUAGCGGUGAAAUGCGUAGAUAUCUGGAGGAACACCGGUGGCGAAGGCGGCAUCCUGGACCAAUACUGACGCUGAGGAGCGAAAGCCAGGGGAGCAAACG